rnacentral:rRNA from 1 species
GAUGAACGCUGGCGGCGUGCUUAACACAUGCAAGUCGAACGGUGAACGAGGGAGCUUGCUCCCUCCGGAUCAGUGGCGAACGGGUGAGUAACACGUGAGCAAUCUGCCCUGGACUCUGGGAUAAGCGUUGGAAACGACGUCUAAUACCGGAUACGAGGCGUGGGGGCAUCCCCAACGCCUGGAAAGAACUUCGGUCCAGGAUGAGCUCGCGGCCUAUCAGCUUGUUGGUGGGGUAACGGCCCACCAAGGCUUCGACGGGUAGCCGGCCUGAGAGGGUGACCGGCCACACUGGGACUGAGACACGGCCCAGACUCCGACGGGAGGCAGCAGUUGGGAAUAUUGGACAAUGGGCGAAAGCCUGAUUCAGCAACGCCGCGUGAGGGAUGACUGCCUUCGGGUUGUAAACCUCUUUCAGCAGGGACGAAGCGAAAGUGACGGUACCUGCAGAAGAAGCACCGGCCAACUACGUGCCAGCCGCCGCCGUAACAC